UACGAAGGGGGCUAGCGUUGCUCGGAAUCACUGGGCGUAAAGCGCACGUAGGCGGCUUUUUAAGUCAGAGGUGAAAUCCUGGAGCUCAACUCCAGAACUGCCUUUGAUACUGGAGAGCUUGAGUCCGGGAGAGGUGAGUGGAACUGCGAGUGUAGAGGUGAAAUUCGUAGAUAUUCGCAAGAACACCAGUGGCGAAGGCGGCUCACUGGCCCGGUACUGACGCUGAGGUGCGAAAGCGUGGGGAGACAAGAGG
rnacentral:rRNA from 1 species